UCUUGCAUCUGUAGUGAUCAUGAUGAUAUUGUUCUCUUUUUUGACAAGCACUAAUGAGGUUCUCCACUGAACUGUUUUCUUUUCAUUAAGAGUGUAGAUAAAGUCAAACGAUGCUAAAGAACUUGUGCUGGAAACUUAAUUAUGAAGGAUUUAAAAUAUAAAUUGUUUUUUACAUAGUUCAGAAUAAGUCUUCCUUAUUGUAUACAUGUGUAGUACUUUGGCUUACCUUUUUAUCUAUUUCUCUCACAUCUCUCUCUUUGUCUAUACCAUGCUUUAUCAUUUCUUGUCAGAUAAGAUUUAUCGACAACACAAAUCCAGCAGGCAUUGAUUCAGAAGGCCUUCCGUGAAGCCGACUUGAUAUUUUCAAAACAGGGUAUUGCCAUUACACAAUUGAACUCAUUGCUUAACAACACUGUUAGAAUUGAGGGUUUGUUAGCCGGAUUCCCUAUGUUUGAUUGGGUGGGCAAAAGAACCUCUGGAAUGUCUGCAGUUGGCUUACUUCCAGAUGCACUUCAGGGAAUUGAUAUUAGAGAGAUGCUCGCUGGUGCUACAUUGAUGGAUGAAGCAAAUAGGACCACUGUGGUAUGACUAUAUUGCCUUUUUCAUGUUCUUUAGGCAUAUAAAAGACUUUUUUAUUUGAAGUUUUCAGACUAGUAAAUCUACCUAGUACAAACAACUGAAAUAAAUUUCCUUGUAGAAUUAUAGGAGCUGAUGGAGUUGGAUCAAAGGAUAUGCUUGUCCUCCCAUACAAGGAUAGUUUAUUACUAUUUAGUAGGUAUUUACAGUACAUUGUCAUGGAGUCUCUGGGGAAAGAGUUUGACCUUGACAGUAACUGGAUAUAUUUCCUAUAGUUUCCAGCGCUUAAUUUUUUCAGAUUAAAACAACACAGAAUAGA